rnacentral:misc_RNA from 1 species
GAUGAAGAACGCAGCGAAAUGCGAUAACUAAUGUGAAUUGCAGAAUUCAGUGAAUCAUCGAGUCUUUGAACGCACAUUGCGCCCCCUGGUAUUCCGAGGGGCAUGCCUGUCCGAGCGUCAUUGCUGCCCUCAAGCACGGCUUGUGUGUUGGGCUCCGUCCCCCCGGGGACGGGUCCGAAAGGCAGCGGCGGCACCGAGUCCGGUCCUCGAGCGUAUGGGGCUUUGUCACCCGCUCUGUAGGCCCGGCCGGCGCCAGCCGACAACCAAUCAUCCUUUUUUCAGGUUGACCUCGGAUCAGGUAGGGAUACCCGCUGAACUUAAGCAUAUCAAUAAGCGGAGGA